GAUGAACGCUGGCGGCGUGCCUAAUACAUGCAAGUCGAGCGAACAGACGAGGAGCUUGCUCCUCUGACGUUAGCGGCGGACGGGUGAGUAACACGUGGAUAACCUACCUAUAAGACUGGGAUAACUUCGGGAAACCGGAGCUAAUACCGGAUAAUAUAUUGAACCGCAUGGUUCAAUAGUGAAAGACGGUUUUGCUGUACCUUAUAGAUGGAACCGCGCCGGAGUAGCUGGUUGGUAAGGUAACGGCUUACCAAGGCAACGAUGCGUAGCCGACCCGAGAGCGUGAACGGGGACACUGGAACUGAGACACGGUCCAGACUCCGACGGGAGGCAGAAGUAGCGAAUCUUGGGAAAUGGGCGAAAGCCUGACGGAGCAACGCCGCGUGAGUGAUGAAGGUCUUCGGAUCGUAAAACUCUGUUAUUAGGGAAGAACAUAUGUGUAAGUAACUAUGCACGUCUUGACGGUACCUAAUCAGAAAGCAACGGCUAACUACGUG
rnacentral:rRNA from 1 species